rnacentral:rRNA from 1 species
AUCGCCCUUCCUACGGAGAGGCAGCAGUAAGGAAUAUUGGUCAAUGGAGGCAACUCUGAACCAGCCAUGGCGCGUGCAGGAAGACUGCCCUAUGGGUUGUAAACUGCUUUUGUACGGGAAUAAACCUUGAUUCGUGAAUCAAGCUGAAUGUACCGUAAGAAUAAGGAUCGGCUAACUCCGUGCCAGCAGCCGCGGUAAUAAGGGCGAUCCAA